GUUCUGUUUUUAUAAAAGUUUUACCCUUUGAUCUUUUCCCACAGCUAUACUAGAAUAUUCUGUAAGAAAUGACCAGUUAGGAUGGGUUUUAAGCUAGGUUGAGUAUACCUCAGCUUUAAAGACAGGAUGGCUUGCAAAAACAAAUACUUGCAUGUUUACACCUAGAUGUUAAUUACUCACAUUCUGAUCUCCUGAUAACAUCAACUGUGUAACCUCU